UUGGGGGAAUGUAUAAUCCUCUUAUGAGGCUCGUUGUGUUUUGAAUAAAGGUUAUAAAAUAAACAUAACACCAACUACGUUGGAUAAAAUUCUAGAUAGAAUACUGAUUAUGACUAUUUUCUAUCUAUAUGUCUUGACCAAAUUACGUGCCAGCAGUCGCGGUAAUACGUAGAAGACUAGUGUUAUUCAUCUUUAAUAGGUUUAAAGGGUACCUAGACGGUAUUAUUAGCCCAAAACAGGGAAUUUUUUUUACUAGAGUUUGAUGUAAGAAGGGAGAAUUCAGGGAGUAGAGUUGAAAUUCUUUGAUAGCCUGAGGACUGGUAAUGGCGAAAGCACCCUCCUAUGUAAUAACUGACGUUAAGGGACGAAGGCAUGGGGAGCGAACAGGAUUAGAUACCCUAGUAGUCCGUGCAGAUAAUUAUGAGUGCCAUAGACUAGAUAUAUUUUAGUUUAUAAAUGAAAGUGUAAGCAUUCCACCUCAAGAGUACUGUGGCAACGCUGGAACUGAAAUCAUUAGACCGUUUCUGAGAACAGUAGUGAAGUAUGUUAUAUAAUUCGAUAGUCCUCGUAAAACCUUACCACAACUUGAAUUGUGUCCUCUAAAUAUUAAUAAAAAUAUUACACUCUGGUUAAUAUAAUUAUAACUUGGUAUUAGGUAAGUAUAGUAUUUUUAUUAAUAAUUAUGAUGUUACAAGUGUUGCACGGUUGUCUUCAGCUAAUGUCGUGAGAUUUUGGUUAGUUCCAUAAAAUUAGCGUAAACCCCGGUUUUAUUUUUUAAUUAUUAUAAUAAAGCAGUUCCUCAAUUUAUAUCCGAGAUUUGAUAA
rnacentral:rRNA from 1 species